UCUACGGGAGGCAGCAGUGGGGAAUCUUAGACAAUGGGGGCAACCCUGAUCUAGCCAUGCCGCGUGAGUGAUGAAGGCCUUAGGGUUGUAAAGCUCUUUCAGCUGGGAAGAUAAUGACGGUACCAGCAGAAGAAGCCCCGGCUAACUCCGUGCCAGCAGCCGCGGUAAUACGGAGGGGGCUAGCGUUGUUCGGAAUUACUGGGCGUAAAGCGCACGUAGGCGGACUGGAAAGUUGGGGGUGAAAUCCCGGGGCUCAACCUCGGAACUGCCUUCAAAACUAUCAGUCUGGAGUUCGAGAGAGGUGAGUGGAAUUCCGAGUGUAGAGGUGAAAUUCGUAGAUAUUCGGAGGAACACCAGUGGCGAAGGCGGCUCACUGGCUCGAUACUGACGCUGAGGUGCGAAAGCGUGGGGGAGCAAACAGGAUUAGAUACCUGGUAGUCCACGCCGUAAACGAUGAAUGCCAGACGUCGGGCAGCAUGCUUUUUCGGUGUCCCAC
rnacentral:rRNA from 1 species